rnacentral:rRNA from 1 species
CCUACGGGAGGCAGCAGGGGGGAAUAUUGCACAAUGGGGGAAACCCUGAUGCAGCGACGCCGCGUGAGUGAAGAAGUAAUUCGUUAUGUAAAGCUCUAUCAGCAGGGAAGAAAAUGACGGUACCUGAGUAAGAAGCCCCGGCUAACUACGUGCCAGCAGCCGCGGUAAGACGUAGGGGGCAAGCGUUAUCCGGAUUUACUGGGGGUAAAGGGAGCGUAGACGGCAGUGCAAGUCUGGAGUGAAAGGCGGGGGCUCAACCCCCGGACUGCUCUGGAAACUGGACGGCUGGAGUGCAGGAGAGGUAAGUGGAAUUCCUAGUGUAGCGGUGAAAUGCGUAGAUAUUAGGAGGAACACCAGUGGCGAAGGCGGCUUACUGGACUGUAACUGACGUUGAGGCUCGAAAGCGUGGGGAGCAAACAGGAUUAGAUACCCCGGUAGUC